rnacentral:lncRNA from 1 species
GUUAAACAACUUCUUAUUCCACAACUAUCUAGAAGUAAAAAUUACUAUAAAUUGAAUGAUGAAAACUUCAGGUCAUUCCUUUCAAAGUCCUUUCCAGUGCUGCAUGGAGAAAAAACGCAAUCUACAACCACAACAAUAAAUGAGGUAUGAGAUUUAAUUCUGGAUAUUACAGGGAGGCUUAAUGAAGCAGAGAAGUGGAUUUCCGGAGAAGGAGAGAUUAAAGUCUGGAAAAGAAGUAUACCUGUCUGGGGAUUAAAAAACAAACAACUUUGAACGGUCAAGGAACCUGGAAACCAAGCUCAUAAAAGGUUUAUGCAAACAUCAAAUGUGGCAUCCCACAUGGCAGCAGCAGAAAGGCACUGGGGUAGAAGAUGAGUGAUAAUGAGGUUACCCCGGAAUGCAGUUGGUUGGCUGGCAUGCAAAGGGAUCUUCUCACUUUGUUGGAUAUCUGAAAUGUGUAUAUGUUUUUUUUGGAAGCAGAGUCUCACUCUGUUGCCCAGGCUGGAGUACAGUAGCACAAUCAUAGCUCACUGCAGCCUUGACCUUCUGGGCUCAAGUGAUCCUCCUGCCUCAGCCUCCUGUGUAGCUGGGACUACAGGCAUGUGCCAUCAUGCCCAGCUAAUUUUUUAAUUUUUGAGGGAGACAGAGUCUCACUAUGUUACUCUGGCUGGUUGCGAACUCCUGGCCUCAAGUGAACUGCCUUGGCCUCUCAAAAUGCUGGGAUUACAGGCAUGAACCACUGGCCCAGCCUGAGGUGUGUAUUGUUAUUGUUUGCUUUGAUGUUGCUCCCUGCAACCCGAAUCAUGCCUUACUGCCAAUUCCUAGAAGCAUUUACUCCAUUGCCAACAGUGAACUUUUAUGGGAAAUUGGG